UAUAUAUUGUAAACUUAUCCGGUUUUUGUUCCAAAUUCUAAUCUGAGAUGAGUCCCAACCAAGUAUACGGCUUUAGCAUUGUCUCAUCUAAAAGUCCAGCCCGCAGUAUAACUAGAAGCUACCAGCUAAAUCAUUUGGUUCAUAUCUGUUACAUCAGGGUCGGAUCUCGUCGGAGAAACCGCUGCUGCUAUGGCCGCCGCCUCAAUUGUGUUCCGGCGAUCCAACCCCGCCUAACUCUAGCGAGCUCCUCCGCCACACUCACCAGGUCAUUCUAUUUUCAGAUUUUCACAUUUUUAUUGCAUACCUCUUAAAUCACAUAUAAUUAAAUAUGAGUCUCACAUGGUAUGUUUUGACUAAUUGUACCACUUUGGAGGUUUUUUGUGCCUCUUUUGGAGGUUUUUGUACUUUCUUGGAUGAUUUAUCUAUUUUUUAUGAUUAUUGCAUUUGAAUUGUAUCAAUAUUAUACUUUUCCUUCUAUGAUGUCAAUAUUUCAAAGAUCAAGUCUCAAAGGUUUGUUUCUUCAUUCGAAAUCUCUUAUCAAUUUCUUUUAUAUAGAUCCAAAUUUAACUCUUACGUUUUAUAAUUAAUCUGAAUAUAUUAUAUGUAGUUUUAUUUUACUUUGGGAUAGUGAUGGCUGUCAAACAAUGGAGUGUUGAGAGUUGAGACUAUUAUUUUUCUAGUUCCAGCCCUUCCAAACCGCCGGAGGGAAAGUGUGUGGCGGAGUUCUGGACUAAUUAUAGUUUGCUUUUUUUUAUCAUUAAUUUAUUAAUUACGGUUUUUUUCUUGUAAGUACUUAAUUACAAUUUAGUGGAGUUUUUGUUUUGACUUUAA